UACGGAGGUUGCGAGCGUUGUUCGGAAUUACUGGGCGUAAAGGGAGCGCAGGUGGCUGGGUAAGUCUGAAGUGAAAUCCCGAGGCUCAACCUCGGACGUGCUUUGGAUACUGCCCGGCUUGAGUGUGCGAUAGGAGAGCGGAAUUCCAGGUGUAGCGGUGAAAUGCGUAGAUAUCUGGAGGAACACCCGUGGCGAAAGCGGCUCUCUGGCGCAACACUGACACUGAGGCUCGAAAGCGUGGGUAGCGAACGGG
rnacentral:rRNA from 1 species